rnacentral:lncRNA from 1 species
CCUUGACGCCUUGCAUAACUUGAUCCUUUAUUGAGCAUGUAUGAAUGUCACAAUACUUUCUUAUCUUAAAAAUCUUUGAUUUGCUAAUUCUGGAAUAAUGAAGAAACCAAGUACAAUCAUCCACCAAACAAACAAAUAGUAGUUGUUAAAUUUAAAAAAAUUAAUACUCAAAAAACAGAUACCCGAAUUACGUACAACUAUAAUAUUCAAUUUAAUACACUAAAAAUAUACAAUCUCUUUUACCUGUUUGUGCUUGACCUUUCAGUUCGAUAUGUCUAUCAUCAGCUGUGUUGCGGUUGCUUCUACUAAUCCUUUAUACUUUGUUGUUGCAUCAUACAUAAUCCCAUCAAUUUCAAAGUCCCUCGGUAUUCUUAUUUAAACAACAAUUUUAGUUUUCAUGCAAUUGAUAAACGUACAAAAUUCAACAAUGUAACAAUAGAGAAUUUAAAAAACACAAAAAAAUAAAUCUUUAAAUUCGUUUUGAAUGAAAAAUAUCCAUUUUUAUAAAAAAAAUUAACAAAUCUGACGAAUCCCACUUGUCUCCAUGACGUAUCAUGAUUGAAUGCAAAUUAAUAAAAUUCACAUUUCUUAUCAAAAGAAAUACUUGUUUUUGCUUUUCUUUAAAAUUAUAAUCUUCAACAAUUUGUUGACGCCGAAAUUACGGUGUUUUGUUUACUGGCAGAAAUUAAUCGUGUACAAAGAGGAAGGUAGUGUAUGAAGAUGAAAACUCUUAAUGCAAGCAUUAAAAUAGGAGGAAAAAACAAUGAUUAGAGGGAUUUGGACUGGAUAAAUAUCAGUAAUUAAGGUUAACUAUAUUUAAGGAAGGUAAAUUGUAUAUUAAGUGUAUUAAAUCUUUGAUUUCUUUUUUCAUUAAUUACUUUUUUGUAUUUUCAACAAAACAAAAAAACCUUUUUUAUAUAUUUUUUUAAAAUGAAAGUUGCUAUAACUUGAAAACUUAAAAGUUUUGCUAUAAUUUGUAAUAACUAAUCUAAUAAGUUUAUAUAGUUAAUUUUCCCUUUAUUUAUUCAUCAGCUAUAAACCCAAAUUCUAACAAAUUCGGCCCAUCCCUUUCAACUAACCCAAAAUCAACGACCCGGCCCAUCCAUCUCAAAUUGAAGGACCCGAACCUGAGAACAUUCUUUGUUUUCAAAUGUGGAUCAACAUCCAUCAAAGCUUUCCAGCUUCAGUUGUUUUUAUUGCGGUAAGCCAAUUUUUAAAUAGUUGAUUUUCUCACAUUAAUCGUUCCUUUAUUAUGAAGAAAAAUAACCUAUUAGAUGUUAAUUUUGUUUCUAUUUCCAUAGUUGCAUUCAAUUGUGAUUGUUUAGCAUAUACACAAACAAAUUAUGCAUACAACACUCUAGAGUGUGGCCUAGUGGUUAGUGAAGUGGGUUGAGCGCCAUGAGAUCUCAGGUUAAAAUUUGUGUCGUUUAAUAGCUGGUUAGAGUUGCGUAGAUAUUAGUAAGUAGUAAAUUAGUUAUGAGGGAAUAUAUGUAGUAUUAUUUUAUGCAGAUUUUAGUUACUCAUCUGUAACUUAUUCCGCCUUCUAUCCUGCGUAAAAUAAUGUAUAGAUUUCCUCAUACACGUACUAGUUAUGUGGAUUUUUAAACUCUAAACCAAACAUUGUAUUAAUUUUGUACAUGAAUCACUUAUUUCCUAUACACCAACAAAAUGUUGUAACUAUAAUUUAAUACAUGACUAACUUAUUUCAUAUCCAGCUACCAACCGACCCUUAAGUGAUUUCUUCCCAUAUGUUCUAGCUUGGUGGAAGGUGUGGAGGACUCGAAUUGGGGUAGAGGGUUAGUGGGUAGGACUUCAGCCGUUAUAGUAGGGAAGUGUGCUUUGUUUGUAUCUGCGCCUGGGGGGUUUCUUGUUCAUGGUGUUUCGGUGAUGUAUAUGAUUUUGGAUAGAUAGUUUAUAGUAGUACCUUGUGGGUGUCUUAUUUCCUUUAGUAUCUAGCAGUGUGUUAUCCCAUCUUGUUGUGUGCUUUUGCGCUUUUGUUUCUUUUGUUGUUAUAUGUCUUGAGCCGGGGGUCUAUCGGAAACAAUCUCUCUACUUCAUCUAAGGUAGUGGUAUGGACUGCGUACACGUUACCCUCCCCGGAACCCAUUUUGUGGGAAUACACUGGGUAUGCUGCUAUUGUUGUUGUUUUAUGUUCUAGCCUUGGUGGACAGAGUUACUUGGUACCUGAUGCUUGUGGGACCAUGGGAGGUGAAAGGUAUCCCGUAGAAUUUGUCAAGGUGUGGUCCGGAUACCACGAAUAUUAAAAAAAUAUGCAUACACAUAUACGAAGGCCCAACUAAGCAGCCAUUGUGAUUCAAAUUGUGGUGUGUUGAAUUUUGAUGUUUCAUUUGAUUAUACCAAAAAGACUAGAAUCCUUAGGGACUUCUUGUUUAAAUAUUUCGAUAUAUGUUAUGCUUAACAUGGAGAUCAGUUUGCUGGCAAAGUUAAUGUUUUUGACCAAAUUGGGUAUUCUUUGGUUCUACAGGAUCGAGAGUUCUGAUUACAGAAAAUGGAUGCAAAAGCUUUAGCAAAGUCAAAGAGAGCUCAUUCUUUACUUCUUAAUAAGAAGCAUAAUCCACAUCACGCAUCUAAGGGUUCUUCUGCUGUUUCUGGCACGCCCGCUGGCGGUAAGAAUGCUACCGUCAAGCAAGUUAAGGAAAAGCCUAAAUCUAAGCUCCCCUCGAAUUGGGAUCGAUAUGAAGAGGAAAAUUCUGAUUCUGAAACUGGGAUCCAGGAAGGCCCAAGUAAUGCAAGUGAUGUAGUUGAGCCGAAAAGUAAAGGAGCAGAUUAUGCAUACUUGCUUUCGGAGGCUAAGGCUCAGUUUCAGUAUUCUUCAGAGGAAGUUUCUUUUUCUGAUGAUAUUUUUGAUGGUAAUGCUUUAUCCCUGAACUUUUAGCAAUCUAGAAUUUCUUUUUGAUGCUAUCAUUCAUAACCUGUCAAAGGUUUAUAACAAUUGUAACUGGUAUCUUGCUCACUAUUCUCCUUCUUGAAAACUGUUGCUUUCUCAAACUCAUGUUGGCCAUAAAUGGUUUGGAAAUGUAGAAGUUACUAGUUAGAGCAUACCCUUUCUUUUUACUAUUGUUCUGUCUGCUGUUUGAUUACUAGAUUCAGGUUAGUUCGAGCGGAAGGGGAUGUUAGGGGUUAGGCAUGACUUAGAAUUGAACCCCCUCUGCUGCUGGCGGGUAGAUGUAUAACGCACUACUUUGAGCCAGCAACUUCUUAGGAGUAGGUUUUGGCUUGGGAAAAAGAAUCACACACUUGGAGUCAGGGAUAAGGGUAUGACUCACUCUUUCGAAAGUAUACAAGUGUUGAGAGAGUGAAGUUUGGGCUUAGAUUUUGAAACAUGGUUAUAAAAGUGAUUGCGUUAAUUUCAACAUUGAAAUCUUAUCUUGGCUGUACAUUGUCUAAGUUGUUGAUUCUGAGUUCUGACUAGUUUAUCACCUCAAUGUAAUGCUAGAAAAUGUGAAGGUUUGGCUUCAGUAAUGUUUAUUUUUGUUACACUAUUAAAUUUUCGGAGACUGCUGUGUUCCCAAGUCUUUCUGCAGUCUGCAAGUCUGGAAAUUUUGGUCAAAACUCUAUAGUAACUGACUCAAUAUCUUUUAGACUUUUAUCAGGGACUAGGAGCAUUACUCUCCGCAAAAGGGCAAAGCAAGUUAACGUGGAUAGCAGAAGACAAUUUUGCUAUGGAAGAUAAGGCACCUCCUCCCACUAAGGUGAUUUUUCUUCUCUCAAUCCAUGGCGUCGUCUGUCUCCUUUGCGCUUAUUUUCUGUUCUUGUUUUCUGGAGUUAUAAAGAGAGCGAUAUGGUAUGCUGAUACCAUUGAUUUACUACAAUUUAUCUCAGCUUUCAAUGCCACUAACAUUUAGGUUAGACUAGAAACUUCUAAUACUAUGGUUAUAUUAACAUGUUGAAUAUAUGCUGCCACUUUAGUUGAAAAUUCAAUCUUUUCUUUGAAAUUGUAUAAAAAGUAAAUGAUCCCUCUGGUUCAAUAGUUUUUAAUAGCAAAAUCCCGAGAAGAAUGACCCAUAACCUUUCUUACAAGUAAGGAAAUAUUUUAUUCCUCAACCCGUACUUCAUUAUAUCUAUAUUUACCAGAACUUAGCUUGGCAUUCAUCACAGGAUUCACAUUAAUCAGUGUGUACGGAUAAAUCAAGUGAAGUAUCUAAGUCGCAUAGAUUUGACCAGUCACACAUACGCCAUAAGCCAAAAUACAGAAACUUUUAUUUGAGUCGAUUUACUGGUUCAGCUCAUCCUUUGAAACAAUUCUAAGUCAUCUCAUUCCAGAUUACCUAAAAUAUACAUACAGAAACUCUGUUGACCCGAGGCUUUGGUUCUGUUGUAAGGAAGUGAUACAUGUUGUAUAUCCAUGGCCAAGUGGUUGAAAAGAACAAAUGAAACCAGCUCACCCACAGCUCGGUUGUUACUUUGGGUGCCACCUUAUGAUGAAUAUUGACAUUUGACAAAAGUACUUAUACAUCCCAUACUCAUAAAAAACUCCAUCGCCUAGAAGCCUUCACAUUCUGCCCCAUGCUAUGUGUUAAACACAACACCGAUUAGAGGAUAUUUGGAUUUUUAAACCUUUUAAGACCUCUUUGGAUGCCUUUUUACUCCCAACAUGUGACAUAUAUACCUUUUUAAACUUGAUUCUGGAAUAAGUCCAUACAGACAUAUAUCCCCUAACAUCCUCCAGCCCAAAUAACCUGCAUUCAGUGAAUCAGCAAGGUCUGAUUUCUUUGUUAAACAUAAUUCUGGAAUCCACAUAUGUCAGAUCAUACAGAUAGACUCCUGGCAAGAUUUAUGUAAAGGCUUAAAAUUAUAUCUUCACAAAUCUCCUAGACUUCUUUUUGAAUCAAAUCCACCUAAUAGGUGGUGGGUUAGUCUCAGACCCUGCUGUUUCACUGAAACCAAAUAGAAACAGAAGUCGUAAUUUGAAGGAGAGGUAUAUUUGCAUAACCUCCUAAAUCAAGCUAAGAUUGAGGAAAACCCAGUCCGUUACUGUAGGGCUCUAUAACAUGUACCUUUGCUAUACUAAUAUUUUCCAACUUACCAUAGGAUGACUCUCUUAUUUGCAUAAGGAUACUGUAAGUUAGAAUUUUUUUGGUAUGCAUUAAGUUAACUAUGCAAUAUAAGAAUUACUAACAGUUAAUGUAGCUUCCUUGUAAAUAAGUGAGAAAAAUCCAUAAGUCUUUCAGUGAACUGUCAAAUUAGACACGUGUUACGUGUUUUGGAACAAUCAGUUGACAUUAUGAUUUUCCAGCUAAUGAAGGAAAGAAAGGUGUUAAUGUGUGAGAUGCUUGCUCACUAGUAAUUCCUGAUGAUUCCAUAUCACUUAACUUCAUAUCUUUAUUCUUUCUUCUGGUAAUAAAGUGAUGUUUAUUGAAGUGAACUAUUGCUUGGGUUGUUGGAAAAUCAUAUUAAUGGCGCGUUUAAUCCCUUUGGCUGGGAAGCAAUAGCAUGUGUUCAUUGUAAUCCCGCUGAACACCAGUUUUCUUUUAAUCAGGCCAUGUCUGAUUUGUGAUUUGGUUUGUUUUAUUUUCCUUAAACGUUGUUGUGUCUCAUCUAGAUUGCUUGGCUACCUGUGAUCAAACUCAAUGGCA